rnacentral:rRNA from 1 species
AGUAGUGGGGGAUAGCUCGGGGAAACUCGAAUUAAUACCGCAUACGACCUACGGGUGAAAGGGGGCGCAAGCUCUUGCUAUUAGAUGAGCCUAAAUCAGAUUAGCUAGUUGGUGGGGUAAAGGCCCACCAAGGCGACGAUCUGUAACUGGUCUGAGAGGAUGAUCAGUCACACCGGAACUGAGACACGGUCCGGACUCCUACGGGAGGCAGCAGUGGGGAAUAUUGGACAAUGGGGGCAACCCUGAUCCAGCCAUGCCGCGUGUGUGAAGAAGGCCUUUUGGUUGUAAAGCACUUUAAGCAGGGAGGAGAGGCUAAUGGUUAAUACCCAUUAGAUUAGACGUUACCUGCAGAAUAAGCACCGGCUAACUCUGUGCCAGCAGCCGCGGUAAUACAGAGGGUGCGAGCGUUAAUCGGAAUUACUGGGCGUAAAGCGAGUGUAGGUGGCUCAUUAAGUCACAUGUGAAAUCCCCGGGCUUAACCUGGGAACUGCAUGUGAUACUGGUGGUGCUAGAAUAUGUGAGAGGGAAGUAGAAUUCCAGGUGUAGCGGUGAAAUGCGUAGAGAUCUGGAGGAAUACCGAUGGCGAAGGCAGCUUCCUGGCAUAAUAUUGACACUGAGAUUCGAAAGCGUGGGUAGCAAACAGGAUUAGAUACCCUGGUAGUCCACGCCGUAAACGAUGUCUACUAGCCGUUGGGGGUCCUUGAGACUUUAGUGGCGCAGUUAACGCCGAUAAGUAGACCGCCUGGGGGAGUACGGCCGCCAAGGUUAAAACUCAAAUGAAAUUGACGGGGGCCCGCACAAGCGGUGGAGCAUGUGGUUUAAUUCGAUGCAACGCGAAGAACCUUACCUGGUCUUGACAUAGUGAGAAUCCUGCAGAGAUGCGGGAGUGCCUUCGGGAAUUCACAUACAGGUGCUGCAUGGCUGUCGUCAGCUCGUGUCGUGAGAUGUUGGGUUAAGUCCCGCAACGAGCGCAACCCUUUUCCUUAUUUGCCAGCGGGUUAAGCCGGGAACUUUAAGGAUACUGCCAGUGACAAACUGGAGGAAGGCGGGGACGACGUCAAGUCAUCAUGGCCCUUACGACCAGGGCUACACACGUGCUACAAUGGUAGGUACAGAGGGUUGCUACACAGCGAUGUGAUGCUAAUCUCAAAAAGCCUAUCGUAGUCCGGAUUGGAGUCUGCAACUCGACUCCAUGAAGUCGGAAUCGCUAGUAAUCGCAGAUCAGAAUGCUGCGGUGAAUACGUUCCCGGGCCUUGUACA